GACGAACGCUGGCGGCGUGCCUAAUACAUGCAAGUAGAACGCUGAAGGAGGAGCUUGCUUCUCUGGAUGAGUUGCGAACGGGUGAGUAACGCGUAGGUAACCUGCCUGGUAGCGGGGGAUAACUAUUGGAAACGAUAGCUAAUACCGCAUAAUAGUAGAUGUUGCAUGACAUUUGCUUAAAAGGUGCAAUUGCAUCACUACCAGAUGGACCUGCGUUGUAUUAGCUAGUUGGUGGGGUAACGGCUCACCAAGGCGACGAUACAUAGCCGACCUGAGAGGGUGAUCGGCCACACUGGGACUGGGACACGGCCCAGACUCCUACGGGGGGCAGCAGUAGGGAAUCUUCGGCAAUGGACGGAAGUCUGACCGAGCAACGCCGCGUGAGUGAAGAAGGUUUUCGGAUCGUAAAGCUCUGUUGUAAGGGAAGAACGAGUGUGAGAGUGGAAAGUUCACACUGUGACGGUAUCUUACCAGAAAGGGACGGCUAACUACGUG
rnacentral:rRNA from 1 species